rnacentral:rRNA from 1 species
GAUGAACGCUAGCGGCAGGCCUAAUACAUGCAAGUCGAACGGGAUCUGAGGGUAGCUUGCUACCCGAUUUGAGAGUGGCGCACGGGUGCGUAACGCGUGAGCAACCUACCCAUAUCAGGGGGAUAGCCCGAAGAAAUUCGGAUUAACACCGCAUAAUAAUACGCUAACACAUGUUGAUGUAUUUAAAUAUUUAUAGGAUAUGGAUGGGCUCGCGUGACAUUAGCUAGUUGGUAAGGUAACGGCUUACCAAGGCGACGAUGUCUAGGGGCUCUGAGAGGAGAAUCCCCCACACGGGUACUGAGACACGGACCAGACUCCUACGGGAGGCAGCAGUAAGGAAUAUUGGUCAAUGGGCGCAAGCCUGAACCAGCCAUGCCGCGUGCAGGAUGACUGCCCUAUGGGUUGUAAACUGCUUUUGUUAGGGAAUAAACCUUCUUACGUGUAAGGAGCUGAAUGUACCUAAAGAAUAAGGAUCGGCUAACUCCGUGCCAGCAGCCGCGGUAACAC